rnacentral:rRNA from 1 species
UCAGGCCUAACACAUGCAAGUCGAGCGGGGUUUUCGGACCUAGCGGCGGACGGGUGAGUAAUGCGUAGGAAGCUACCCGACAGAGGGGGAUACCAGUUGGAAACGACUGUUAAUACCGCAUAAUGUCUACGGACCAAAGUGUGGGACCUUCGGGCCACAUGCUGUCGGAUGCGCCUACGUGGGAUUAGCUAGUUGGUGAGGUAAUGGCUCACCAAGGCGACGAUCCCUAGCUGGUUUGAGAGGAUGAUCAGCCACACUGGAACUGAGACACGGUCCAGACUCCUACGGGAGGCAGCAGUGGGGAAUAUUGGACAAUGGGCGCAAGCCUGAUCCAAGAAGGCCGCGUGUGUGAAGAA